UGUGUGGGUGUGUAUCUGUGUGUGUGUGUGUGAGUGUGUGUGUGUGUGUGACACGCAAAUCCUUGCGCACCUCAACAAAAUCCGAUACGCAUAUUUACCCUUGAAAAAUUUGUACGGCAAACAAAACGGCAGCGACGUCAGCGUCAGCGGCGGCGUCGCUGGUUUAACGGCGAUUUGGCGGCGAAAAAUACAGCUAGCGGCGAGAAAGAGAGAGAGAGCGAAAACUGUGGGUUAAAGCAGCGGUAAUUCGACAAUCAAAAGAAGCAGAAUAGAAAGCACAACAACAAUUGAGAAAGCAGACGCCGUAAAUAAGUGAGCAAAAGGAGUGAAAGGGAAGAAACAAAAA